GUCAACGUAGCAAAGCCUGGUUUUUGCAAAAGACCUAAACCCUUUUUACAGAGGUUCAAAUCCUCUCGUUAACU
rnacentral:tRNA from 1 species